rnacentral:tRNA from 1 species
GUCUAAAUAGCUCAGGGGUAGAGCAACGGACUGAAAAUCCGUGUGUCAGUGGUUCAAAUCCACUUUUGGACA